GUCUAACUGACAUCGGUGUUCUGUUCUCCUUUAAGGAGCUCGGGAACCCAAGGGUAGUUCUUGUGCUUAACGUUGAGAAAGCCUGCAGUUGGAACCAGUUGACACAAUAUCUGUCAAGCAGUGGAUAUGAGUACA